rnacentral:rRNA from 1 species
AGUGAUGAUUAUUGGAGGUAGAGCACUGUUUGGACGAGGGGCCCCUCUCGGGUUACCGAAUUCAGACAAACUCCGAAUGCCAAUUAAUUUAACUUGGGAGUCAGAACAUGGGUGAUAAGGUCCGUGUUCGAAAGGGAAACAGCCCAGACCACCAGCUAAGGUCCCAAAAUAUAUGUUAAGUGGAAAAGGAUGUGGCGUUGCCCAGACAACUAGGAUGUUGGCUUAGAAGCAGCCAUCAUUUAAAGAGUGCGUAAUAGCUCACUAGUCGAGUGACACUGCGCCGAAAAUGUACCGGGGCUAAACAUAUUACCGAAGCUGUGGAUUGUCCUUUGGACAAUGGUAGGAGAGCGUUCUAAGGGCGUCGAAGCAUGAUCGCAAGGACAUGUGGAGCGCUUAGAAGUGAGAAUGCCGGUGUGAGUAGCGAAAGACGGGUGAGAAUCCCGUCCACCGAUUGACUAAGGUUUCCAGAGGAAGGCUCGUCCGCUCUGGGUUAGUCGGGUCCUAAGCUGAGGCCGACAGGCGUAGGCGAUGGAUAACAGGUUGAUAUUCCUGUACCACCUAGUAUCGUUUUAAUCGAUGGGGGGACGCAGUAGGAUAGGCGAAGCGUGCUGUUGGAGUGCACGUCCAAGCAGUAAGGCUGAGUGUUAGGCAAAUCCGGCACUCAUAAGGCUGAGCUGUGAUGGGGAGAGGAAAUUGUUUCCUCGAGUCGUUGAUUUCACACUGCCGAGAAAAGCCUCUAGAUAGAUAACAGGUGCCCGUACCGCAAACCGACACAGGUAGUCAAGAUGAGAAUUCUAAGGUGAGCGAGCGAAC